rnacentral:rRNA from 1 species
GACGAACCACACAACCGUUAUUCGGAAUUACUGGGCUUAAAGGGUGCGUAGGCGGCGCGGAAAGUAGGGUGUGAAAUCCCUCGGCUCAACCGAGGAAUUGCGCCCUAAACUACCGUGCUCGAGGGAGAUAGAGGUGAGCGGAACUUAGGGUGGAGCGGUGAAAUGCGUUGAUAUCCUAAGGAACACCGGUGGCGAAAGCGGCUCACUGGAUCUCUUCUGACGCUGAGGCACGAAAGCUAGGGUAGCGAACGGG